GGUUAAAAAGCUCGUAGUUGGAUUUCUGUUGAGGAUGACCGGUCCGCUCUUUGAGCGCGUAUCUGGUUCAGCCUUGGCAUCCUCUUGGGGAACGCUACUGUGCUUGAUUGCAUGGGGCGGUAUUCAAGACUUUUGCUUUGAGGAAAUUAGAGUGUUCACUGCAAGCGUUAGCAAUUGAAUACAUUAGCAUGGAAUAAUAAUAUAGGACCUUGGUACUAUUUUGUUGGUUUCUAGAACUAAGGUAAUGAUUAAUAGGGACAAUUGGGGGCAUUCGUAUUAACGCGUCAGAGGUGGAAUUCUUAGAUUGCGUUACGACGAACUACUGCGAAAGCAUUUGCCAAGGAUGUUUUCAUUGAUCAAGAACGAAAGUAUGGGGAUCGAAGACGCUUAGAUACCGUCGUAGUCUAUACCAUAAACUAUGCCAACUAGAGAUUGGAGGUCGUUCUCUUUAUGACUCCUUCAGCACCUUAUGAGAAAUCAAAGUCUUUGGGUUCCGGGGGGAGUAUGGUCGCAAGGCUGAAACUUAAAGGAAUUGACGGAAGGGCACCACCAGGAGUGGAGCCUGCGGCUUAAUCUGACUCACCACGGGAAAACUUACCAGGUCCAGACAUAGUAAGGAUUGACAGAUUGAUAGCUCUUUCUUGAUUCUAUGGGUGGUGGUGCAUGGCCGUUCUA
rnacentral:rRNA from 1 species